UACGUAGGGAGCAAGCGUUGUCCGGAAUCAUUGGGCGUAAAGCGCGCGUAGGUGGCCACAUAAGUCCGUUGUGAAAGUCAAAGGCUCAACCUUUGAAAGCCGAUGGAUACUGUGUGGCUAGAGUACGGAAGAGGCGAGUGGAAUUCCUGGUGUAGCGGUGAAAUGCGCAGAUAUCAGGAGGAACACCGGUGGCGAAGGCGGAUCUCUGGGCCUUACCUGACGCUCAGGUGCGAAAGCUAGGGGAGCGAACAGG
rnacentral:rRNA from 1 species